CCUACGGGAGGCAGCAGUGAGGAAUAUUGGUCAAUGGGCUUACGCCUGAACCAGCCAAGUCGCGUGAGGGAAGACUGCCCUAUGGGUUGUAAACCUCUUUUGUCAGGGAGCAAUUGGCGCUACGUGUAGCGUUAUCGAGAGUACCUGAAGAAAAAGCAUCGGCUAACGCCGUGCCAGCAGCCGCGGUAAUACGGAGGAUGCGAGCGUUAUCCGGAUUUAUUGGGUUUAAAGGGUGCGUAGGCGGAAUGCCAAGUCAGCGGUAAAAUCGCGGGGCUCAACCUCGCUCCGCCGUUGAAACUGGCGGUCUUGAGUGGGCGAGAAGUAUGCGGAAUGCGGGGUGUAGCGGUGAAAUGCAUAGAUAUCACGCAGAACUCCGAUUGCGAAGGCAGCAUACCGGCGCCCAACUGACGCUGAGGCACGAAAGCGUGGGUAUCGAACAGGAUUAGAUACCCGAGUAGUC
rnacentral:rRNA from 1 species